rnacentral:rRNA from 1 species
UGUGGGGUCUCCCCAUGCGAGAGUAGGGAACUGCCAGGC